rnacentral:rRNA from 1 species
AUUGAACGCUGGCGGAAUGCUUUACACAUGCAAGUCGAACGGCAGCACGGGUGCUUGCACCUGGUGGCGAGUGGCGAACGGGUGUGUAAUACAUCGGAACGUACCCAGUCGUGGGGGAUAACGUAGCGAAAGUUACGCUAAUACCGCAUACGUCCUGAGGGAGAAAGCGGGGGACCGUAAGGCCCCGCGCGAUUGGACCGGCCGAUGGCGGAUUAGCGAGUUGGUGGGGUAAAGGCCUACCAAGGCGACGAUACGUAGCGGGUCUGAGAGGACGGCCCGCCACACUGGAACUGAGACACGGUCCAGACUCCUACGGGAGGCAGCAGUGGGGAAUUUUGGACAAUGGGCGAAAGCCUGAUCCAGCCAUUCCGCGUGAGUGAAGAAGGCCUUCGGGUUGUAAAGCUCUUUCGGCAGGGAAGAAACGGCUUGGGAUAAUACCCCGGGCUAAUGACGGUACCUGAAGAAGAAGCACCGGCUAACUACGUGCCAGCCGCCGCGGUAA